GCUCCUGACACAUACUACCCUUAACAUGCUCAAUCUUGUCUGAUCUCAGAAGCUAAGCAGGGUCAGGCCUAGUUAGUACUUGGAUGGGAGACCACUGAGGAAUACUGGAUGCCGUAGGCU